AUGCAGUCGAACGGAGCUUACAAGUGGAAGUUUUCGGAUGGAAAUUUAUAAGCUUAGUGGCGGACGGGUGAGUAACACGUGAGCAACCUGCCUAUCAGAGGGGGAUAACGAUUGGAAACGAUCGCUAAUACCGCAUGACAUAGCGGAACCGCAUGGUUUUGCUAUCAAAGAUUUAUCGCUGAUAGAUGGGCUCGCGUCCGAUUAGAUAGUUGGUGGGGUAACGGCCUACCAAGUCGACGAUCGGUAGCCGGACUGAGAGGUCGAACGGCCACAUUGGGACUGAGACACGGCCCAGACUCCUACGGGAGGCAGCAGUGGGGGAUAUUGCACAAUGGGGGAAACCCUGAUGCAGCGACGCCGCGUGAGGGAAGACGGUCCUCUGGAUUGUAAACCUCUGUCUUCGGGGACGAAACGAGACGGUACCCGAGGAGGAAGCCACGGCUAACUACGUGCCAGCAGCCGCGGUAAUACGUAGGUGGCAAGCGUUGUCCGGAAUUACUGGGUGUAAAGGGAGCGUAGGCGGGCAGGCAAGUCAGGCGUGAAAUAUAUCGGCUCAACCGGUAACGGCGCUUGAAACUGCAGGUCUUGAGUGAAGUAGAGGUUGGCGGAAUUCCUAGUGUAGCGGUGAAAUGCGUAGAUAUUAGGAGGAACACCAGUGGCGAAGGCGGCCAACUGGGCUUUUA
rnacentral:rRNA from 1 species